GAAGAGAAGAACAUAAGGGGCAGUGAAGCGAAGGGGUGAUGUUGAAAAGCCCAGGCUCUGAGGGAGCUGGAGGAGGAAGACAAGGAACACAGCGGCCUGAAAAGGGAGGAAAAAGAAAGUGGAGGCAUCUGGCCAGCAGGUGUUCGCUCUGUGGGUUCACCCAGGUCCUCACACAGACAGCUAUCUGAGGGGCUGCAAGGGAGGAAAAGCAGGGGGCCAAGUCAGCAAGGCUGAAAGAGAAAAAAAAAAACAAAAAAAAAAAACACCAAAGCCCACAGCACUCCAGACUCGGAUGGGAACUAAACCACUUCUCCAUCCUGCUGACCAUAAACUGUGUGACCUGUCAGCCUGCAGAAUCACAUGAGCCAAUGAACUCCUCAGCAAAAACCUUGAAUCUCAUUGGUUUUGUUUCUCCGGAGAUCCUGGAUGUAUCUGCUGCUAUGCGUAUGUAUAUGUAUAUGCUGCUAUGUGCUAUCAUCUACAGGGGCGUAACGCCUCUACUGGUCUCAGGAGACAAGACCUUCAAGUAACACAUGGUACCCUUGUAGGUUUUCUUCGGUUACUGCUAACCCUCAAAGCAAACAGUCUAAGAAGAGCUUUCUUUCUCAGAAAAGCUAUCCUUAGUAUCUCUUAGA
ensembl:processed_transcript Gm20616 predicted gene 20616